rnacentral:tRNA from 1 species
AGCCUUGAGGUGUUUCCACAUAUUGGAUUGCAAAUCCUAAGUAGCAGGUUGACGUCUGCCGGGGCUU